rnacentral:rRNA from 1 species
AUUGAACGCUGGCGGCAGGCCUAACACAUGCAAGUCGAGCGGAGCGGCGGACGGGUGAGUAAUGUCUGGGAAACUGCCUGAUGGAGGGGGAUAACUACUGGAAACGGGCGCUAAUACCGCAUACUAUCAGAUGAUCCUAGGUCGGAUUAGCUAGUUGGUGGGGUAAAGGCCUACCAGGGCGACGAUCCGUAACUGGUCUGCGAGGAUGCUCAGGACCACUGGAACUGGGACACGGUCCAGACGCCUACGGGAGGCAGCAGUGGGGAAUGUUGGACAAUGGGCGAAAGCCUGAUCCAGCCAUGCCGCGUGUGUGAAGAAGGUCAUCGGAGUGUAAGGCACUUUAAGUUGGGAGGCGUUACCAACAGAAUAAGCACCGGCUAACUUCGUGCCAGCAGCCGCGGUAAUUC